rnacentral:rRNA from 1 species
GAUGAACGCUGGCGGCGUGCUUAACACAUGCAAGUCGAACGGUGAAAGAGGAGCUUGCUCCUCUGGAUCAGUGGCGAACGGGUGAGUAACAUGUGAGUAACCUGCCCCAGACUCUGGGAUAAGCACUGGAAACGGUGUCUAAUACCGGAUACGAGCUUCAGCCGCAUGGCUAGGAGCUGGAAAGAUUUCGGUCUGGGAUG